rnacentral:rRNA from 1 species
UACGUAGGGUGCGAGCGUUGUCCGGAAUUAUUGGGCGUAAAGCGCGCGCAGGCGGUCCUUUAAGUCUGAUGUGAAAGCCCACGGCUCAACCGUGGAGGGUCAUUGGAAACUGGGGGACUUGAGUGCAGAAGAGGAAAGCGGAAUUCCACGUGUAGCGGUGAAAUGCGUAGAGAUGUGGAGGAACACCAGUGGCGAAGGCGGCUUUCUGGUCUGUAACUGACACUGAGGCGCGAAAGCGUGGGGAGCAAACAGG